rnacentral:rRNA from 1 species
UAAGGAAUAUUGGGCAAUGGACGCAAGUCUGACCCAGCCAUACCGCGUGAAGGAUGACGGCCCUACGGGUUGUAACCUUCUUUUGUACGGUAAAAAACCUUCGAUCGUGUAUCGGAGCUGAUGGUACCGUAAGAAUAAGCAUCGGCUAACUCCGUGCCAGCAGCCGCGGUAAUACGGAGGAUGCAAGCGUUAUCCGGAUUCAUUGGGUUUAAAGGGUGCGUAGGCGGGUUGAUAAGUCAGUGGUGAAAUCCUACAGCUUAACUGUAGAACUGCCAUUGAUACUGUCAGCCUUGAGUACAUUUGAAGUGGGCGGAAUGUGUCAUGUAGCGGUGAAAUGCUUAGAUAUGACACAGAACACCGAUAGCGAAGGCAGCUCACUAAACUGUAACUGACGCUGAGGCACGAAAGCGUGGGGAUCAAACAGG